rnacentral:misc_RNA from 1 species
GAUGAAGAACGCAGCGAAAUGCGAUAAGUAGUGUGAAUUGCAGAAUUCAGUGAAUCAUCGAAUCUUUGAACGCACAUUGCGGCCAUAGGUAUUCCUUUGGCCAUGCCUGUUCGAGCGUCAUUUACACCCUCAAGCCUAGCUUGGUGUUGGGCGCCUGUCCCGCCGUUUUCGCGCGCGGACUCGCCUCAAAGUCAUUGGCGGCGGUCGUGCCGGCCCCCUCGCGCAGCACAUUUGCGCUUCUCGGAGGCCCGGCGGAUCCGCGCUCCAGCAAGACCUUUCACGACUUGACCUCGGAUCAGGUAGGGAUACCCGCUGAACUUAAGCAUAUCAAUAGCGGAGGA